rnacentral:misc_RNA from 1 species
GUCCACUCAUGGGUGGCAAUAGGAUUUAAUUAGCUGCCGACUCAUUCAUCCAAAUACUGAGUUAAGGGCUAGCUGACGAGGUUACCCAGUAAAUGAGUGAAUGAUGCGGGAGACAAAUUGAAUCUUAAGCUUCCUGUACUUGGACUGAAGGGAGCUCCCUUUACUGUUAUUUAACCCAAUAAUAUAUAUAUUUUAUAUAUUUCUUAGAUUCUUAACUUCUCUAUAUAGUUAUGCUCACAAUUAUAUAUUCUUAUGGCUGCCAAUGCUGUUGGUAUAAAGCACUUUGAUGCUCAUGAGGUAAUGCUAGAGAACCCUCAACUUGUCCGUUUUCUUUGAGUGAUCUUUAUCCUGUUUGUCUUGAACUUUUCUUUGAGCUUUAUUUUCUUGCUCUGUGACCAAGAAGGAGAGCUGUAUAUCUGGCUUAUCAUUUCCAGGGUAUUCUUGAUGCCUUUUUCUUACUGUUUCUCCCUUCUCUGGUAUCUCUUGUUGCCUUAAAACAGUCAUUUUGCAGAGGUAGGGUUAAGGGAUAUGGCAAGCUUAAAAAAUGAGUUUUACUCGCUUUAAUUAGCAUCCUCAGUUCUCAAACAAAGAAUAACUGAGCUACAAAAUUUUCUUGCCGUGGCAACAAAUAGUGAUCUAACAAGGGUUUGGUUUUAGGGUUUGUAUCAAGCUGUAGGCGGUUCUUGUAAAAGCUACCCUUCAAAGGCAACCGCAUGAGGGAGAUGAACUUACAAGCUCAUCACGCUACUCGACACUAGUUUCUUGGGUCUUGCUUUCUAACAGGCAGCAACAAGUUCCUAGACGGGCUAGAGACAUGUCUCCCAGAGGUUCAAUUACCGAAAUAUCCUCAAACUGAGUUUCGAGCAGUGGUUCAAGCAGGAUAUUUUAUUUAAUUUGUAGCAAUCAGAAGAACUUUCUCUUCAUUCCUAGUUUCCUUCUGUUCUGCUUUGUUUACUGGUUUUAACUCAUUUAAUUAUGAGUAGAGGCUAUAAUUUUUUUUUUUUUGGGUUAAGGAAAGCUUCUCUUGAACUUCUUCUUCACUUAAGCACUGUAUUUAUACAUACUACAGAUUGGAACUGUAUAUCAUAUAUGCUGUCAUUUUCUUUAUGUGAACUCCAUAGAUGGGGUUAGUUUUCUGUUCUUUUAGACAAAAGAUCCAAAAUUUUUAGGUCUUUUCUUGAUUUGCAAUG